rnacentral:lncRNA from 1 species
GAUGAAGAAACAGGGAGAAUUAGUAACUCACCUACAGGAUGCAGCCAACUAGGGCAGAGUGGACCCUGAAGUCUAGAGGAUUCACCACAAAAAGUCUCAUUUCUGGCUGAACCAGACGGGUGCUCCGAUGGCCACUCGAGGCCAGGCUGUCACUUCCUACUUCUCAGUGUCAGCUUCCUGUCUCCAGCUGCCCAUUGACGCCUGGCGCCCACAGUCACUGAGGACAGGCCCUCAGCCUGCGCUGGGACUUCUGAGUGGAUUUGUCCUUUCAGACUGACCUUUUCCCAAAAAGGACUUUGAAAUGGCUGUCUGCAGACAAGGAGAGAAGAAAAG